CCAAUAGCGUAUAUUAAAGUUGUUGCAGUUAAAAAGCUCGUAGUUGAAUUUCGGGAUCAGACUGUCGGUCGUGCCUCGGUACGUACUGGCAUCGUUGGUUUCUCCCUUCUGAAGAACCAUGAUGUCAUUCAUUUGGUGUCGUGGGGAAUCAGGACUGUUACUUUGAAAAAAUUAGAGUGUUUAAAGCAGGCUCACGCUUGAAUACAUUAGCAUGGAAUAAUGAAAUAGGACGUUUGAUUCUAUUUUGUUGGUUUCUAGGAUCGACGUAAUGAUUAAUAGGGAUAGUUGGGGGCAUUAGUAUUCAAUUGUCAGAGGUGAAAUUCUUGGAUUUAUUGAAGACUAACUACUGCGAAAGCAUUUGCCAAGGAUGUUUUCAUUAAUCAAGAACGAAAGUUAGGGGAUCGAAGACGAUCAGAUACCGUCGUAGUCUUAACCAUAAACUAUGCCGACUAGGGAUCGGAUGAUGUUAAUUUUUUAAUGACUCAUUCGGCGCCUUACG
rnacentral:rRNA from 1 species